UAGCCUGAACCAGCCAAGUAGCGUGAAGGAUGAAGGCUCUAUGGGUCGUAAACUUCUUUUAUAUAAGAAUAAAGUGCAGUAUGUAUACUGUUUUGUAUGUAUUAUAUGAAUAAGGAUCGGCUAACUCCGUGCCAGCAGCCGCGGUAAUACGGAGGAUCCGAGCGUUAUCCGGAUUUAUUGGGUUUAAAGGGAGCGUAGGUGGACUGGUAAGUCAGUUGUGAAAGUUUGCGGCUCAACCGUAAAAUUGCAGUUGAUACUGUCAGUCUUGAGUACAGUAGAGGUGGGCGGAAUUCGUGGUGUAGCGGUGAAAUGCUUAGAUAUCACGAAGAACUCCGAUUGCGAAGGCAGCUCACUGGACUGCAACUGACACUGAUGCUCGAAAGUGUGGGUAUCAAACAGGAUUAGAUACCCUGGUAGUCCACACAGUAAACGAUGAAUACUCGCUGUUUGCGAUAUACAGUAAGCGGCCAAGCGAAAGCAUUAAGUAUUCCACCUGGGGAGUACGCCGGCAACGGUGAAACUCAAAGGAAUUGACGGGGGCCCGCACAAGCGGAGGAACAUGUGGUUUAAUUCGAUGAUACGCGAGGAACCUUACCCGGGCUUAAAUUGCAGUGGAAUGAUGUGGAAACAUGUCAGUGAGCAAUCACCGCUGUGAAGGUGCUGCAUGGUUGUCGUCAGCUCGUGCCGUGAGGUGUCGGCUUAAGUGCCAUAACGAGCGCAACCCUUAUCUUCAGUUACUAACAGGUCAUGCUGAGGACUCUGGAGAGACUGCCGUCGUAAGAUGUGAGGAAGGUGGGGAUGACGUCAAAUCAGCACGGCCCUUACGUCCGGGGCUACACACGUGUUACAAUGGGGGGUACAGAAGGCAGCUAGCGGGUGACCGUAUGCUAAUCCCAAAAGCCUCUCUCAGUUCGGAUCGAAGUCUGCAACCCGACUUCGUGAAGCUGGAUUCGCUAGUAAUCGCGCAUCAGCCACGGCGCGGUGAAUACGUUCCCGGGCCUUGUACACACCGCCCGUCAAGCCAUGGGAGCCGGGGGUACCUGAAGUACGUAACCGCAAGGAUCGUCCUAGGGUAAAACUGGUGACUGGGGCUAAGUCGUAACAAGGUAGCCGUACCGGAAGGUGCGGCUGGAACACCUCCUUU
rnacentral:rRNA from 1 species